GAUGCCAGCUAGCGAUCCGCCAAAGUUCCUCCGAUGACUUGGCGGGCAGCUUCCGGGAAACCAAAGCUUUUGGGUUCCGGGGGAAGUAUGGUUGCAAAGCUGAAACUUAAAGGAAUUGACGGAAGGGCACCACCAGGAGUGGAGCCUGCGGUUAAAUUUGACUCAACACGGGAAACCUCACCAGGCCCGGACACCGGAAGGAUUGACAGAUUGAGAGCUCUUUCUUGAUUCGGUGGGUGGUGGUGCAUGGCCUGUUUUAGUUGGUGGAGCGAUUUGUCUGGUUAAUUCCGAUAACGAACGAGACUCUAGCCUACUAAAUAGACGUACUUUAUUACCGGCAUCUCAAGGCCCAUCGGCUG
rnacentral:rRNA from 1 species